rnacentral:rRNA from 1 species
UACGUAGGUGGCAAGCGUUGUCCGGAUUUACUGGGCGUAAAGAGCGCGCAGGCGGUCGUUCAAGUCGCGUGUGAAAGCCCCCGGCUCAACUGGGGAGGGUCACGCGAUACUGAUCGACUCGAAGGCAGGAGAGGGUAGUGGAAUUCCCGGUGUAGUGGUGAAAUGCGUAGAUAUCGGGAGGAACACCAGUGGCGAAGGCGACCACCUGGCCUGUUCUUGACGCUGAGGCGCGAAAGCUAGGGGAGCAAACGGG